rfam:Triticum aestivum genome assembly, contig: Triticum_aestivum_CS42_TGACv1_scaffold_436498_5DL
CAAAUACUCCCUCCGUCCGGAAUUACUUGUCACGGAAAUGGAUGUAUCUAGACAUAUUUUAGUUUUAAAUACAUCCAUUUUUAUUUAUUUCUGCGACAAUUAAUUUGGGACGGAGGGAGUACCUU